rnacentral:tRNA from 1 species
GGCUCGUUGAUGUACGGGUAUGAUUCUCGCUAUGGGUGUGAGAGGUCCUGGGUUCAAACCCCGGAGGAGCCC